UACGGGGGGGCAAGGCGUUGUUCGGAAUUACUGGGCGUAAAGGGCUCGUAGGUGGCCAACUAAGUCAGACGUGAAAUCCCUCGGCUUAACCGGGGAACUGCGUCUGAUACUGGAUGGCUUGAGUUCGGGAGAGGAGUGCGGAAUUCCAGGUGUAGCGGUGAAAUGCGUAGAUAUCUGGAGGAACACCGGUGGCGAAGGCGGCAAGUCCUGGACUACUACUGACGCUGAGUGAGCGAAGCAGGACGAGGCAGCAGGG
rnacentral:rRNA from 1 species